UACGUAGGGGGCAAGCGUUAUCCGGAUUUACUGGGUGUAAAGGGAGCGUAGGUGGUUUGGUAAGUCAGAUGUGAAAGCCCGGGGCUCAACUCCGGGAUUGCAUUUGAAACUAUUAAACUAGAGUGCAGGAGAGGUAAGUGGAAUUCCUAGUGUAGCGGUGAAAUGCGUAGAUAUUAGGAGGAACACCAGUGGCGAAGGCGGCUUACUGGACUGUAACUGACGUUGAGGCUCGAAAGCGUGGGGAGCAAACAGG
rnacentral:rRNA from 1 species